CCUGCAGACGGUGGCGAAUGCUCAGUCUUCUCAAUUCAAGUUAUGACAGUCUUCUCUGAGUAUAAUAACUUCUGUAGGGUAAUUACUUUCCCUCCUCUCGAGGGCAUUCCCCACCUCCACCUUCACAAAGAAGCAUCAUGGUCAGUUGCAAGGUAAGCCAAUGUAUCCUCCAGGCAUUGUGAUGUUCUCCUGGUCCCUGGCUGCAUCUGUCACUGAGUAGCUGAGGCUGAUAUGUCCACCUGUGAUCAGGUGCCCAUGGCCUGGUGGUUCCUCCUCAUCCUUCUGAUCCCCUGAGGCCUGCCUGUGGCUGCUCCUGAGAAUCUGGCUGGCAGAGUCUGCUGUGGAGCUGAGUCUCCAGGGUAACUGUCUUCCCUAGGACAGCUUGGAAGCCAGCGUCAUCAGUGAUCAUCUAUGUUCCCUCUGGAGCACGUGGGAAUUUCCAUGUCCCAUAAAUACUAGGCCAGGGAUGUGGCAAUCUUUGGCCUGGUCUCAGGAGCUUCCCUCAGAAUUGUCUGUUUUGGUUCAGGCACCAUGCAGCAAGCAGCGCCCUGUUGGCCACAGGGCUUCUCUAAAAGGCAUGGAGUAUUUACAGGAUGAGCCCAAGGAAGACCCCAGAGGCGUCUUUCAUGCUUUCCUACAAAAACAAUCGAAAGAUCAUUUCCAUAAGAGUUGAUGAGAUCUCGGGUUUAAAGGUGAAUGGUCCUCUAUUACGUGGCCUGAGCUGACAGUCCUCUCAGCAUGUACUAUACAAUUGUCUCAGCCCAUCUGACUGCUGAACUACCAAGGGCAAGAUGAGGAGUAUAAUGUGUCAAGGCAAACCAAAACUGAUGCAAUGUCUCCAGCACCAUCCGCAGAAUCUCCACUGGCUGACAGAGGACACACCGAUCCUAUUUGGAUUGGCUUUCACUACCAUCAGAAGGGUGUAGGAAAUCCAUCUCUUACCCAGUUAUUGGAACCACUGGGAUAUCUGGCAUACAGAUUGAGAACAACUGCCAGAGAGUCUUGAUCAGGAAGAAACCCAAGCCUGCCUUCACCCCUCACAUUUGCAGAGCUCUUGACAUAUUUAAAAAGCAUUUUCGUAUACACUUGAAACGCUCUUAACCAACCUCCACUUCAUCAGCUUGCCAGUCCAACUAAUCCUCUCCAUCCCUUCUAUAAAAUGUGAUGACUGAGGACCACAUCAAAUAGAAUACUACUGACUCCAAAGUUACUCUCUAGUAACACUUUGCAAACUGCACAUUGAAAUCCAUGAGUGGAUCAUGAAAACAAGUUAGAAGGUUGAGCCAGAAGUUAUAAAAAUGUAAAAUGG
rnacentral:lncRNA from 1 species